rnacentral:rRNA from 1 species
GGCGGCGUGCCUAACACAUGCAAGUCGUACGAGAAAGUUGGCUUCGGCUGAUGAGUAAAGUGGCGCACGGGUGAGUAACGCGUGGAUAAUCUGCCUUUUAGUUGGGAAUAACGUACCGAAAGGUGCGCUAAUACCGGAUAAUACUGCAUAACUACUGUUGUGUAGUCAAAGAAGGCCUCUGUUUACAAGCUUUUGCUGAAAGAUGAGUCCGCGUACCAUUAGCUAGUUGGUAGGGUAAUGGCCUACCAAGGCUACGAUGGUUAGCUGGUCUGAGAGGAUGAUCAGCCACACUGGAACUGAGACACGGUCCAGACUCCUACGGGAGGCAGCAGUGAGGAAUAUUGCGCAAUGGGGGCAACCCUGACGCAGCAACGCCGCGUGAGUGAGGAAGGUUUUCGGACCGUAAAGCUCUGUCGAGCGGGAAGAAGUGUACCAUGGCUAAUAUCCAUGAUAUUUGACGGUACCGCUAGAGGAAGCACCGGCUAACUCCGUG